CUAAGAGGAGGUUGUGUGGAAAUUUUCCUGCUGUCCAGCAAUUAGCAAAGACCUACAUUUGAGGGCAAUACAUUCUAUGUACCCCACAUUCUAAAGAAAGCAGUUGACUGUGAGCACUUGGAUUCUAGGUACCUCCACUGGAGCCUUACUAGGAAAGAGCACAGUUGUCCUUACUUGAAUCAACUACUGCUGUCUCCUCCCUCACUCCAUCAAUAACAUUCAAGAAAGGAUGAGAAAGGGAACUGAGACAUGGAUGAUGGAAGAAAUUAUUAGCUUACUACAGAAUGCAGCAAUCAUGGUUAGAGGCCAAGUAAAGUAGCAGCCUCCAAAGGGAAAAUUUUAGUGUCUGGGCUUUAGAGACCUGCAAGAAUAGGAGAUUGCAUCUUCUUCUCCAACCAAAUGAUUGCUGGCAGCUUUCCUGGAACUGACCUCAUAGUGGAGUAGAACGGAGUAGAAGACGGAGUUCUUGGAAGGGCAUGUCAGAUUCCCAAACGUAGGCAGCAGUUCCCUUGGCUUCACCUCAUUUGAGUAGCAAGAGGAAUUGGAACCAAUAGACCAAGCAACAUUUUCAUCUACAUUUUCAAAGGUUUAUUCUCUAAAUUUGUAUAUUAUUCUCCAUUUUUCUUUUUUUCUCUUUCAUAUUCU
rnacentral:lncRNA from 1 species